rnacentral:lncRNA from 1 species
UUUUGUAGUUGGAGCCUUUUGAGACAUAUCCCCUCCCUCAGAGUAUGGGGAGCAAUUCUACCUGGAGUUUGAUUCCUGUAGAAGAGCAAAUCCAGUCUUUUACCCAGUACUACAGUUUCACUGAAGCAGCAGGGACUGGCAAGGAAUGCUUGUAAUAUGGAACAUAUCAUGUAUAGUAAAAUGUCAUUUUCAAGUACUUUCUGAACUGUCGUCCCAGUAAUGAAGCAGCUCUGAAAUAUCACAUGACUUUCUCAGUGUGUUGCACUCUGUAUAACCUUGCCUUUGAUCGUGAUGUCAUUUCAGAUGAAAGGCUCGCACGGAGAACCGUACGCUGUGCAUUAGGAGCAGCAGAGAUCCUCUGGGAUCUGAACAGAGAAGGACUGUUUGAGAUGUGCACUCUAUGCUUGUCAAAGAGAAGCAGAGUGGAAACAGUUUCUCAGUGGAGAGUUUGGGACAGAUUAUAAUUUCAGAUGUGUGUCAGGCCAAUGCAAUAUGCCAGUGAAAAUGUCUUCAAGCAGGCAGCAAUGGCUGGACCAGAGUCAGGCCCUCACACCAGCUGAACUUUAGCAGGGUUGAAUAAAAAGGUGAGAAUCUCUACUUCUCUAAGCA